AGAUGUCUUCAUUUUAUUCACGUUUUUCGCGGUUUUUCGUCUCUCUUCAAUGUGGUCUCGCUAUGAAGAGACCAUACUUGUAACUCGUCAGUUAAGUGCGUUAAGUUAAGUGUAAUUAGCGCCAAAUAAUUAACCAUUUGGAACGCUGUAAUCUGAAUUGUGCUGUUUGAACUUCGACGGUGCAGGCCCCACUAUGUGCGAUUGGUUAUCAAAGAGAGGCAGAAAUGGCAGAAAGGCAGUGCAGGGUUAUGGUGGAAUUCUUCAACACCUUUUGUGGGUUCUAGUUAGAUUGUCUAGCAUCUGUGACAUGAAAAAUCUUGCCCAUUCUUGCACAACAUAAGUAGCUAAAGCAAAAUGUAACCUGAUGCAGUCCAUUCAUGUCAACGCCACUGUCCAUCACACUAUGUAGUAUGUGGACAAUAGGCAACCCAAGCAUACUUUCCUCUACACUGAAGUCAAUUUAUCAUAAUUGAAAUUAAGUUAAUAUCUUCGUCACAACCCAUUGUGAUUUUGGUGUAGACCAAGGUCCAUCUAAGAAGUUUACAAGCCAACAAGAACAAGGUUACAAGAUGUUCUCCACUCUCGAACCUGGAAAAGGGUCGAGAGUCGUCUAGAUCUGCCUUCAUCACUGAACCUCUCUGAUUUGUCCUCAUGUACAUCCGUGUGAGUGUGAAUAAUGGAUUCACGAGGACGUGAUUCGAUCCUGCCGCUUCUUCCCUCUAAUUUUCAACUUUAGUCAUCCAGUUUUAACACCCAUUCACUCAAUAAGGUAGGACUCGAUACACUUUUCUCUUGUUUUAGUGCUAGUUGCUCAAUUUUCUUAGUUAGUGCAGAAAACAAAUGCUGAUUACUUCAUCAGAAAUUGGGAGGGGGUAUUAACGAUAAAGAGUUACACUGAAUCAGAGUUCAUUUUGUGUCACCUCGCUCGGUUGAAAGAACAUGGAGAGAAUGACCGUUCCUACCUUCAAUUAACGCUGGUCGAAGUAGGACCUUGCGAGGCCAUUUUUUUCCCAAGAAAGUCAUUUUGUACAACAACAAAAAAUUCUGGUUAAUCUAUGGAAAAUAGGGGAGCAUUUUACGACAAGGAAUCAUAAUGAACCAGGCGAAUCAGAGUUCAUUUUCUUUCACUUUCGUUGAACGACUUGUUACGCUAGAAGGAAGCGAUCCUUAAUGUUAUCUGUUUGUUUUCUC